GUGUUGUGUGAAAGGAGAGAAGGUUAGACCUCCCUAUGCUAAGAAAGGAAGAGGGCCUAUUGGCCUUACAGCGCACAAAUGAUUAAGGCAUUCCAUCUACUUAGUGGCAUCUAACUGUAUUAUUGC